AGCAGCCGCGGUAAUUCCAGCUCCAAUAGCGUAUAUUAAAGUUGUUGCAGUUAAAAAGCUCGUAGUUGAAUUUCGGGAUCAAUAUGUUGGUCGUGCCUUGGUACGUACUAAUUUAUUGGUUUCUUCCUUCUGACGAACCUUGAUGUCAUUAAUUUGGUGUCUUGGGGAAUCAGGACUGUUACUUUGAAAAAUUAGAGUGUUUAAAGCAGGCUUACGCUUGAAUACAUUAGCAUGGAAUAAUGAAAUAGGACGUUUGAUUCUAUUUUGUUGGUUUCUAGGAUCGACGUAAUGAUUAAUAGGGAUAGUUGGGGGCAUUAGUAUUCAAUUGUCAGAGGUGAAAUUCUUGGAUUUAUUGAAGACUAACUACUGCGAAAGCAUUUGCCAAGGAUGUUUUCAUUAAUCAAGACGAAAGUUAGGGGAUCG
rnacentral:rRNA from 1 species